rnacentral:rRNA from 1 species
AUUGAACGCUGGCGGCAGGCUUAACACAUGCAAGUCGAGCGGGGUGAUGGUGCUUGCACUAUCACUUAGCGGCGGACGGGUGAGUAAUGCUUAGGAAUCUGCCUAUUAGUGGGGGACAACAUCUCGAAAGGGAUGCUAAUACCGCAUACGUCCUACGGGAGAAAGCAGGGGAUCACUUGUGACCUUGCGCUAAUAGAUGAGCCUAAGUCGGAUUAGUUAGUUGGUGGGGUAAGGGCCUACCAAGGCGACGAUCUGUAGCGGGUCUGAGAGGAUGAUCCGCCACACUGGGACUGAGACACGGACCAGACUCCUACGGGGGGCAGCAGUGGGGAAUAUUGGACAAUGGGGGGAACCCUGAUCCAGCCAUGCCGCGUGUGUGAAGAAGGCCUUAUGGUUGUAAAGCACUUUAAGCGAGGAGGAGGCUCUUUUGGUUAAUACCCAAGAUGAGUGGACGUUACUCGCAGAAUAAGCACCGGCUAACUCUGUGCCAGCAGCCGCGGUAA